UCCUACGGGAGGCAGCAGUGGGGAAUAUUGGACAAUGGGCGCAAGCCUGAUCCAGCCAUGCCGCGUGAGUGAUGAAGGCCCUAGGGUUGUAAAGCUCUUUCACCGGUGAAGAUAAUGACGGUAACCGGAGAAGAAGCCCCGGCUAACUUCGUGCCAGCAGCCGCGGUAAU
rnacentral:rRNA from 1 species